CUUAUUUUUGGACGCGGCUGUGCCCGCGACUUUCCGCCGGGCACCCCGAGGCCCCUCGCAAAGUCUCGCCCCAUUCCGAGUCCGGCGGACGAACUUCGCCCGCGCCCCCCACCAAGGCUAUAGCCCACCCGUUUUUUGGCCAUUUUUCCGCUGGCGGGUUUUGGCACCACGACCUUCGGGCUCUUAUUUUUGGGGGCGGAUUUGCCCGCAGCUUAUUUUUGGUGCCCCGAGGCCCCGCGCAAAGUCUCGCCCCAUUCCGAGUCCGGCGGAUGAUCUUCGCCCGCGCCCCCCACCAAGGCUAUAGCCCACCCGUUUUUUGGCCAUUUUUCCGCUGGGGGGUUUUGGCACCACGACCUUCGGGCGCUUAUUUUUGGGCACGGCUUUGCCCGCGGCUUAUUUUUGGCACCCCUAGCCCCUCGCAAAGUCUCGCCCCAUUCCGAGUCCGGCGGACGAACUUCGCCCGCGCCCCCCACCAAGGCUAUAGCCCACCCGGUUUUUGGCCAUUUUUCCGCUGGGGGGUUUUGGCACCACGACCUUUGGGCGCGGCUUUGCCCGCGGCCUAUUUUUGGCACCCCGAAGCCCCUCGCAAAGUCUCGCCCCAUUCCGAGUCCGGCGGACGAACUUCGCCCGCGCCCCCCACCAAUGCUAUAGCCCACCCGUUUUUUGGCCAUUUUUCCGCUGGGGGGUUUUGGCACCACGACCUUCGGGCGCUUAUUUUUGGGCGCGGCUUUGCCCGUGGCUUAUUUUUGGUGCCCUGAGGCCCCUCGCAAAGUCUCGUCCCAUUCCGAGUCCGGCGGACGAACUUCGCCCGCGCCCCCCACCAAGGCUAUAGCCCACCCGUUUUUUGGCCAUUUUUCCGCUGGGGGGUUUUGGCACCACGACCUUCGGGCGCUUAUUUCUGGACGCGGCUGUGCCCGCGACUUCCCGCGGGCACCCCGAGGCCCCUCGCAAAGUCUCGCCCCAUUCCGAGUCCGGCGGACGAACUUCGCCCGCGCCCCCCACCAAGGCUAUAGCCCACCCGUUUUUUGGCCAUUUUUCCGCUGGGGGGUUUUGGCACCACGACCUUCGGGCGCUUAUUUCUGGAUGCGGCUGUGCCCGCGACUUCCCGCGGGCACCCCGAGGCCCCUCGCAAAGUCCCGCCCCAUUCCAAGUCCGGCAAACGAACUUCGCCCGUGCCCCCCACCAAGGCUAUAGCCCACCCGUUUUUUGGCCAUUUUUCCGCUGGGGGGUUUUGGCACCACGACCUUCGGGCGCUUAUUUUUGGGCGCGGCUUUGCCCGCGGCUUAUUUUUGGCACCCCGAGGCCCCUCGCAAAGUCUCGCCCCAUUCCGAGUCCGGCGGACGAACUUCGCCCGCGCCCCCCACCAAGGCUGUAGCCCACCCGUUUUUUGGCCAUUUUUCCGCUGGGGGGUUUUGGCACCACGACCUUUGGGCGCGGCUUUGCCCGCGGCUUAUUUUUGGCACCCCGAAGCCCCUCGCAAAGUCUCGCCCCAUUCCGAGUCCGGCGGACGAACUUCGCCCGCACCCCCCACCAAUGCUAUAGCCCACCCGUUUUUUGGCCAUUUUUCCGCUGGGGGGUUUUGGCACCACGACCUUCGGGCGCUUAUUUUUGGGCGCGGCUUUGCCCCGUGGCUUAUUUUUGGUGCCCUGAGGCCCCUCGCAAAGUCUCGUCCCAUUCCGAGUCCGCGGACGAACUUCGCCCGCGCCCCCCACCAAGCUAUAGCCCACCCGUUUUUUGGCCAUUUUUCCGCUGGGGGGUUUGGCACAACGACCUUCGGGCGCUUAUUUCUGGACGCGGCAGUGCCCGCGACUUCCCGCGGGCACCCCGAGGCCCCUCGCAAAGUCUCGCCCCAUUCCGAGUCCGGCGGACGAACUUCGCCCGCGCCCCCCACCAAGGGUAUAGCCCACCCGUUUUUUGGCCAUUUUUCCGCUGGGGGGUUUUGGCACCACGACCUUCGGGCGCUUAUUUUUGGACGCGGCUAUGCCCGCGACUUCCCGCGGGCACCCUGAGGCCCCUCGCAAAGUCUCGCCCCAUUCCGAGUCCGGCGGACGAACUUCGCCCGCGCCCCCCACCAAGGCUAUAGCCCACCCGUUUUUUGGCCAUUUUUCCGCUGGGGGGUUUUGGCACCACGACCUUCGGGCGCUUAUAUUUGGACGCGGCUUUGCCCGCGGCUUAUUUUUGGCACCCCGAGGCCCCUCGCAAAGUCUCGCCCCAUUCCGAGUCCGGCGGACGAACUUCGCCCGCGCCCCCCACCAAGGCUAUAGCCCACCCGUUUUUUGGCCAUUUUUCCGCUAGGGGGUUUUGGCACCACGACCUUCGGGCGCUUAUUUUUGGACGCGGCUAUGCCCGCGACUUCCCGCGGGCACCCCGAGGCCCCUCGCAAAGUCUCGCCCCAUUCCGAGUCCGGCGGACGAACUUCGCCCGCGCCCCCCACCAAGGCUAUAGCCCACCCGUUUUUUGGCCAUUUUUCCGAUGGGGGGUUUUGGCACCACGACCUUCGGGCGCUUAUUUUUGGACGCGGCUGUGCCCGCGACUUCCCGCGGGCACCCCGAGGCCCCUCGCAAAGUCUCGCCCCAUUCCGAGUCCGGCGGACGAACUUCGCCCGCGCCCCCCACCAAGGCUAUAGCCCACCCGUUUUUUGGCCAUUUUUCCGCUGGGGGGUUUUGGCACCACGACCUUCGGGCGCUUAUUUUUGGGCGCGGCUUUGCCCGCGGCUUAUUUUUGGCGCCCCGAGGCCCCGCGCAAAGUCUCUCCCCAUUCCGAGUCCGGCGGACGAACUUCGCCCGCGCCCCCCACCAAGGCUAUAGCCCACCCGUUUUUUGGCCAUUUUUCCGCUGGGGGGUUUUGGCACCACGACCUUCGGGCGCCUAUUUUUGGGCGCGGCUUUGCCCGCGGCUUAUUUUUGGUGCCCCGAGGCACCUCGCAAAGUCUCGCCCCAUUCCGAGUCCGGCGGACGAACUUCGCCCGCGCCCCCCACCAAGGAUAUAGCCCACCCGUUUUUUGGCCAUUUUUCCGCUGGGGGGUUUUGGCACCACGACCUUCGGGUGCUUAUUUUUGGGCGCGGCUUUGCCCGCGGCUUAUUUUUGGCGCCCCGAGGCCCCGCGCAAAGUCUCGCCCCAUUCCGAGUCCGGCGGACGAUCUUCGCCCGCACCCCCCACCAAGGCUAUAGCCCACCCGUUUUUUGGCCAUUUUUCCGCUGGAGGGUUUUGGCACCACGACCUUCGGUCGCUUAUUUUUGGGCGCGGCUUUGCCCGCGGCUUAUUUUUGGUGCCCCGAGGCCCCUCGCAAAGUCUCGCCCCAUUCCGAGCCCGGCGGACGAACUUCGCCCGCGCCCCCCACCAAGGCUAUAGCCCACCCGUUUUUUGGCCAUUUUUCUGCUGGGGGGAUUUGGCCCCAUGACCUUUGGGCGCUUAUUUUUGGGCGCGGCUUUGCCCGCGGCUUAUUUCUGCCACCCCGAGGCCCCUCGCAAAGUCUCGCCCCAUUCCGAGUCCGGCGGACGAACUUCGCCCGCGCCCCCCACCAAGGCUAUAGCCCAAC
rnacentral:lncRNA from 1 species